UUCACGGAAGGACAACUGUUCGCGAUUGUGCUUUUACGCAGGGCGAGUAGCGAUCUGAAAGUUGCAGAGUGGUCGCAAGACGGUUUGUGGUGAGAGUUAACUACUGGCGUGUUCGUGCCUGUUUGUGUUGCUGCGUGACGCCUGCGGUUUGUGGAAGCGGUAUCACGACAGUUCGAGUGUAAAAUGCUGUUCGACUAUUUGAAGGAUCUUUUCUCGAAUUUUAGUUGCAAUAGAGUCGUUUGCUUCGCCACGAAAAAGAGUGAGACGUCUAAGCAGAAAAUACAAUCGUCCACGCGAGCUACGGCAUAGCGUAUUUUGCGGAAUGACCUAGACGGUAGCUUUUAUUUCUUUUAUCUUUUUAAUCACUUUUAAGAUAUGCACGUUUGCAAUUUCAUUUACCCAGAAGUUAAUAAGAAAUAGUCGGUUUCGAAAUUUCUCGUUCUUGCAGGUGUAAAUAUGGAGUAAAUCCAGUGAUCUCCAACUACCUGGAAUUUUGGCUGAGGAGAAAAGCGGAUGGUGCUGCAGUUCUUGGUCACGCUGCGAGCGGAUUGUGCUGACGGGUGUGGCAAUGAUGGGCUUCACGGCGUCUGCGGAGCUGUUGUUUACUUCUGCUUUUGUGGCGCAUUCGAAUAUGACUGGGUACUGUAGAAAAUAAUGUAUGAGAACCAUAAGGAGCAAGUUUGUUGAGAUUCACAGCCGGAAAGUAUGGUUGUGUAAAUUGUCAUUUCUCCAUCAGAUUGUGAAGUAGCCUUUCCUGUGCUUCGUCCAACUUCGUGUCAUUAUAAAAUUGGUUGCAUUAUACAAGUGUUAUUUUUUGUGUAGAGACAUACAACACUUUCUGUAUA